rnacentral:lncRNA from 1 species
AGGAAGUGACUGCAGGAUUAAAAAAUGAAAUGGCUAAGCAGUUGCUAGACCUCAAUGUUUCAACAUUUAGCAUGACACCGGUUAAGGUUUGCUAAUGAAACUUUGUUUAUUUCAUAUAAAUAUUAAUGUAGACCCAAAUUUUAUUAUCUUUAAAAAACCAGUUUAUUAUGUAUUCUUUUUAAUUUUCAUCACAGAGGAAAUAUGCAUUUGAGCGUCAAGACAUACCUGCAGGGGAGAAUUAUGUGAUUAAGAUUAAUUACCCAUUCAAGGUAUGAUACUUGACACACGAACGGUAUUUGUAAUUUGAGUUAAGAUGUCAACAUAUCGGUUUUUUAGUACAACAAGAUAUUGUACACCAAAAAUUUUAGAUUUCGGAGGUUAAAGUUCUUAAAGGUGCCUUUAGAAGGCAUCUCUUAGUUUUGAUUUUCUUGUUUAUUUAUAUAUAUUUAUUAUCACUGCGAUUUGGAAAUUACUGACGAUGGUUAAACUUGUGGCAGCACCCCCCACUUCCCGCUGAUCUAAAAGGAGAAUUGUUCUGUGCUCUUUUAGGAACACAUCGCAGGUAUUAAUAUCUUUCAAUGUUGGUGUUAUCUUUCCUGUCAUGUCUCUCAUCUUUCUUUGUAUUCUCCUUUUAGUUUUCUGCCUUCCUUUUAAGUGUCAUGGCAUUUAUAAUUUAAGCUAUUUGUGCAAUGGUAAAGUUUUUCUAAAUUUCAUUUCUGGUGAAGUUUUUCUAUUUUCAUUUCAGUAUACUUCUUUAAUGACAUUAACAUGUUGAUACAUACAGUGCCUUAGAGCUUCUCCUCAUUAAAAGGAAAAUUAAGGGCCCCUCCUGGUUGUCAAUUUCAAAAUUUUCUUCUCGUCCUGCUUCUCAACGAGUAAGAUUACUUAAUUCUAUCAUAAUUUUUUAAUAUUUAUACGUAUAAAAGAGGCUAAUUCUAUGAUGAUAUUCUUAUGAAGGUGAGCUGGUGCAAGUUUGAGGUGAUAGUUGACUCUCCAAAAGAUGUGCAAACUUCAACGUCAUCAAGCAAAAAUUUGGAGAUUCCUCCUAUGAUUGUCACUGCAAUAAACAUAAAGACCAUCAUUAAUGAAAGGCAGAGUGUCAACGAAAUUGUGUCUGCAUCUGUCAUAUGCUGUCAAAGAGCAAAGGUCGAUUAUGAAUGGCUUUCAGUGUUGUUGAUUUUGAUUUCAUGUUUCUUCUGAUGUGACAAUCAUUUUCUGUUCUGGUUGAAAAUGCGAAUUGGAUUCACCAACAUUCUUACAGGAAUGUUGACCAUCGAUGGCUGUUAGAUGCUUUAAUGGUUAUGCUAUUGAAUUUGAUAAAUGAUAUGAGUUACAAUUACUAUAGGCCUCAGAGGAAUAUGAUCAACUUGAUCGGAAGUAUGCAACCAUAGGCAGAACUGUUGAAUUUUCUCAAAUUUUUGAUCAUGUCAGAGUGAAAAUUCUAUUUGUUAUGAAUUGGGUACAUGGAAGCAUACAAUCAAGUUUUAUGGAUGAAUGAGACUUUGUAGGAAUUAUAAGGACUGCUCUAUUGAAAUAAUAAUUAGCAUGUUUUACUCUCGUACGUAUACAGAGAUUUUAAGACGUGCAGAGAGAUUAUUUAUCCUUAUUAAAUCUUACUCAAAUUAACUACUGCGUGAUAUUGCAGAUUGACGGUCCCAUGUUGGCCACAGAAUGGAAGAAGCCUGGUAUGCUAAGGCAUUUUACUGUCAUCCGUAAGCUUGAUGGAGGCAUAUUUCCUAUGGGAUUUGCUAAAGAGUCCACUGAUAGAAAUUCGAAGGCUGGAUCAAAUGUUCUGAUCUGCGAGGGCAAGUGGGUUACUUAUUAGUACUGCCUAAAUAUUAUUCUGUUUCAUGCAGAAGAUUUCUCUUUUACUAGAAAAAUUAUAUGUUAGUAGUGGUAGUAUUAAGUUUUAACUAAAAUGUUUCUCUUGCAGUGAAAGGGCCUUGUUGAAUAGGUUAAUGAUCGAAUUAUUCAAAUUGGAUAGUGAUGUGCUGGUUGGACACAAUAUCUCUGGGUUUGAUUUAGAUGUUCUUCUCCAUCGAGCACAGGUAGAAUUAUCAAGAAAUUAAUAUGAACAAAGUAAUGAAAAAUUUAUUUAUUAUUGUUAUUGUUAUCAUCUUUUUAGGAAACACUUUUUAUUGACAUUGUUUAAGUGACAACCAUCUUUACAUAGUUACAACCCUCUUGAGUAAAUAAACGUCCCAAGCCCCCAUAACUGACAAUCCAUCCCCUCCACCACACCUAGUGCUCACGCUUGCUGUCUACCUUAAAGAAAUAGAAGCACCAUAGAACUCUGGAAAACACUCCACACUCUGGAUCACAGAAAAUCGGUUUUUAAUGCAUCUGAAUUCUCAAAAAGCUUCUAUAACAAAACAAAAGCUAAUAGCUUUUCUUUUUAUUGCAAUCUAGAGUUUUCUCUCUCGUUUUCUUUUAUGAAAUUUAUGCACAUAGUUUAUUUUUCUUUUUAGAAAUAAUUGGAAAAUAAAACAGCAAGUACAAAAAUGAGUAAUAACCCCCAGUAAAGACUGGUACGAUUCAAUUCAACAUUUUGUUCGUUCGUAGUUUAUUUUUCUUUUUUCCUUUCACUUAGUAUAAACGUAGUUUUAACAGCUGACUUGUAGUAGUAAAUGAAACUAUUCAAAAAAGUGAGUGUUUCAUCUGUCAUUAAAACCCCCAAAUUUUGCUCAAGUUGAUGCCUCCCAUUACUUAUCCUAUGUUAUUAGCACAUGUACUAUUCAUACAAAAUAGUUUUGUCAUACUGUUUCUUAGAUGAUCUCAUGGAAGCUACUUCCUAGAAGUGGUUCCUUGUUGCCUUGCUGACUAAAUGACUAGAAAGCAGUACAAUUUUACUCAAGUUUUUCUAUUAUAACAGUUUUGCCGAGUACCAAGCAGCAUGUGGUCCAAAAUAGGCCGCCUUAAGCGGUCUGUAAUGCCAAAACUUGGAAAGGGAGGGAACAUUUUUGGGUCUGGAGCAAGUCCAGGACUCAUGUCUUGCAUUGCUGGUCGACUCUUAUGUGAUACGUACUUGUCUUCCCGUGACCUAUUGAAGGAGGUACAGUAUUUAUGUUGGAAAUAUAUUUGUGUUUAUUUAUUUGGGUUUUAAAGCUUACUUUUAUUCUUUCAGAUAAGUUAUUCUUUGACAGAGCUAGCAAAAACUCAACUUAAUAAGGACCGCAAGGAAGUCACUUCACAUGAAAUUCCAAAAAUGUACCAGGCAUCCGAGUCUCUCAUGAACCUGGUGAGUAGAGGAUUCGAUAUCCUGCAACUCGGCCUUAGAAUCAUCAUAGUUAUUACCAAUUAUUACAAUUUGAAUAUAAUAGUUGUAAUAGCUAUAUUGUUUUGAAUAUAAUAUUUGUAAUAUUUGUGGUCUGCUGGCCUUCAUGCUAUUUUUAUGAGGUUUUUGGGAGAGAAGAAACGACAGAAUUAUUAGGACUUGGGAAGCCUUGGGAUGCUCGGGGUAUUUGAGUUGGGAGGCAGAAUUUGAUUUUUUAGAGAGGUUUAAAGAUCUAGGAAGGAGGUUUGGGAGGUGGCUUGGUUUAAUGCCCCUUUGUGGGUGUCUAUUUUGUAGUCUUAUCUCGACAUCAUUUUGUUGGAUUGAAGCCUCGUUUGUAGUUAAUUAGGUCUCCUCCCCUCUUUUCCGGCUGUUUUAUUUGUAUGCCUACUCUAUUUCCAUUUUUUUUCUCAAUGAAAACUUAAUUUCUUGAAAGGAAAAAGAAAAGAAAAGAAAAACACACUUCUCUUUGGGCCUCCAUGUUUAUAAUUGUUUGUAAUUAUCUUUUCGGUUUUAUUUUUAACUGGAGUCCUUUGUUAGUUUACUUGCGCACCAUUCGAAGGGUUGAUUUUGUAUCCUCCUUGAUUUCUUUCAUUUAUCUUAAUGAAAGUUUGAUUUCUUACCCACAAAGAAAAAAAAUUGAAUCUUCAAUUUUUGUUUCUCAAAAUGUUUUAAUAUUUUAGAUUGAAUAUGGUGACACUGUGCAUGAUGGUUUUGGAUUUCAUGUUUUAUUUUAAAGUGCUUCAUUCUCACGAGGUCUUGAUAUUUCAGAUUGAAUAUGGUGAGACAGAUGCAUGGUUGUCAUUGGAACUCAUGUUUCAUUUAAGUGUUCUUCCCCUUACUCGACAGUUAACUAAUAUCAGUGGUAACCUCUGGGGAAGAAGUCUACAGGUAACCCCUAUAGGCAUAUUUCAUUCCACAAUUUGACCAUGAUGUUAUAAUGUAAUGAGACUUUUACUAGUCUUAAUUUGAUGUAUAUACUUUUUCAGGGUGCUAGAGCCCAGAGAGUAGAGUAUCUCUUACUUCAUGCAUUCCAUGCCAAAAAAUAUAUUGUCCCCGACAAGAAUUCAUCUUAUGUGAAAGAUAAAAAGAUUGUAAAAAAGAGAACAAAUCAUGGAUCUGAGGAAAAAAAUGUUGAUCAAUUUGAUUUGGAUGAUGGAAAUGUAGAAGCUCCCAAUACUGACAGUGGAAAGGGCAAAAAGGGACCCUCCUAUUUAGGUGGGCUAGUCUUGGAGCCAAAGCGAGGUUUAUAUGAUAAGUAUGUAUUGCUCCUGGACUUUAACAGUCUGUACCCUUCUAUCAUUCAGGUUAGUCUGUUGGUCCCAUUAAAUGUUCAUCAACUUCUUCCAGUUGAAUUUUAAACAUGGAUGCAGUGAUAAAAUUGUAAUCCGUAUGCCACACUUGUAUCUUGAUCAUGCAGGAAUAUAAUAUUUGCUUUACCACUGUUGAAAGAUCCCCAGAUGGUGUUAUUCCUCCUCUGCCAUCUAGUAGAGUGACGGGAGUUCUUCCUGAGGUACAAUCUUAAUGCACGAUGGAAUAGAAACUAAAUUUAAUCAAUAGUGAUUCAUUGGGCUAUCAUCUUCUUUGAUGAAAGCAUUUUUCAUGAGAACUUCUGGACUCUUCCAUGUGAAGAUAUAAUAAAUUGUUAAUAUGUAUAGGACUUUCAAUUGUAUGCUAGACAUGUCUGUCUUCAUAAGGUUAACAGAUCAAGCUCGGAUACCUAUAUUAUAUCUCCUUUUGUCAUUGUUUUAAAUCACAAGAGUUCCUUUCGUGAAUGGUUGGUUCAUGUCAGGCGACAUAUGUCCAUGGUUUACUAACUUGGUUUUGAGCAACAUUCUUAUAUUUUUCCACUUCCCAGUAGAAAGAAUAGGCAAUGAUGAUACUCCUCUUCUUAUUUCUACAGUUGCUUAAAAAUCUGGUUCAGAGAAGAAGAAUGGUGAAGUCAUGGAUGAAGAAUGCCUCUGGUCUCAAGCUUCAGCAACUUGACAUUCAGCAGCAGGCACUAAAGCUCACUGCAAACAGGUAUUUUUCUCCUUAUUUUUUUUCCAUCUUUACUCCAGACUUGUUCUAAUCAUCCUUUUUUAUUGUGCAUUUACAUGAUCUGGUUGCAGUAUGUAUGGAUGUCUAGGGUUUUCUAAUUCAAGGUUUUAUGCAAAACCACUAGCAGAGCUUAUUACUUCACAGGUAAGGGAAAGGUUGCUUAUGUUUCAGUUUGCGUGUUUGCCAAUUAUGUCAAAGACAGCACCCUCUUUUUAUUUUUCAAUAAAACGAAAAAAUGACAAGUAAAAAGAAAGGAAACAAAAAAGAAUCAGCAGAAACUUUCAUUUACACUACCUAUUUGCUUAUUUUGCAGGGAAGAGAAAUACUGCAGAGCACUGUUGAUCUUGUCAAGAAUAAUCUAAGCCUAGAGGUCAUAGUUGAACACUGAAACUCACAAGUUAUAUUUUCUGAACGCAUGUGCAUAAUCUCAAUGCACUACCGAGUCCACUUGUCUCAUGAAUAGAAUAUCUUUCACAUGACAGGUAAUUUAUGGCGAUACAGAUUCAAUAAUGAUUCACAGUGGACUGGAUGAUGUUGGCAAAGUAAAAGCAAUUGCAGGAAAAGUUAUACAAGAGGUAAGGUUGUGGAUCUGAUUGCAUUUAUCUCAAGUAUUUUUGGUAUUAUUUAUUUUGGAAAUCUCAUGAUUUAUUAUCUAAACCUUAACCUUAACCUUAACCUACGGAACAGCUCUCUUGUUUAAGAAUCACAUUAUUAUAUUAUUGAAAAUUGUGAAAGUUCUCAGUAUUCAUAUACUCUUCUUACGUACACAAAUUCAUGGUAAUAAAGUAAAGGGAACCUUAACCUUAACCUACUGAACAGAUCUAUUGUUUAAGAAUCACAUUAUUAUAUUAUUGAAAAUUGUGAAAGUUCUCAGUAUUCAUAUACUCUUCUUAUGUACACAAAUUUAUGGUAAUAAAGUAAAGGGAAAAAAGAAAAGGAAAAAAAUUAACCCUUUAACCUUGUUUUGAAAUUUCUAUUGAAAAAUGCUCGAAAAUAGUUUGCAGGUCCAUCUAAAUUAUUCAUAAUCUACUCAAAUGCUUAUAUGUCACCACAAAAAACUAGUGUAGGACAACAGAACUUUUCCUUGGCAAGUAUUUCCACUUAUUUUCUCAAGUCUCAUAUGUGAGGUAUUCUUGCAUGUUUUUUCUUUUCCAGGUUAACAAAAAGUACAAGUGCUUAGAAAUUGAUCUCGAUGGUUUGUACAAGAGAAUGUUGCUUCUGAAGAAAAAGAAGUAUGCUGCUGUAAAGUUGCAGUUUAAGGAUGGAAUGCCAUACGAGGUAACUAUGAUGUAUUACUCUUUGGAUCUUAUGUGGAAAUAAUUGGGAGAUAUAGCAAUGUCAAAGUUGAUUUUAUAUUCAGGUUAUUGAGCGUAAGGGUCUUGAUAUGGUUCGGCGUGACUGGAGUUUAUUGUCAAAGGAAUUAGGUGAUUUCUGCUUGAAUCAAAUAUUGUCUGGAGGGUAUGUUACAUUGCGUGCUUGUUUUAGCUGCAGUAUUUUUACCUUCAUAGCUGCAGCUUUUAACAAAUAAGUUUUUCUAAAUAAAACUUAUAUGUUAAAAACUUUAGAAAAAUUUGUUUGUUAAAAACUGAAUUAAAAUUUUCCUGAUCAUUAAUCUUUUUUCAUGCUUAUAGGUCAUGCGAGGAUGUCGUUGAAUCAAUACAUGACUCACUUAUGAAGGUAAAAAACAUGUACCUUUUCAUGUUGACUUGUGAAUACUUUGUUCUUUCACUAUCAAGAAAGAUGGAGGAUGGGUUGAUGCUCAGAAUGUUCCUAAAGUUUAAAUUGGGAUGUGUGCUUAAAAUGAAAAUGAUUGUCAGACAACUUUGCAAAAUGUGGACAUGUCAAAUUGAUGACAACUUGUCUCAACUUUCUUUCCACUUGUACUUCCCCUCCCGAACAACCUAAAAACAGAUGAAAACAGUCACUGCUUCGAGAAAGGAAAAAUAAUAGAAAAACAAGCCUUUAGCACUCUGUAAUUACUAUUGUUUGUCGAGAAUUACUUGGGAC